CGACGAUUGUAAGUGAUAAUAAUAUAGUUUAAUAUAAUAAUAAUAAUAAAUAUGAUAAUAAAAACCACGUUGUUAAAGAUUUAAAUAUAUUAAUAAUAGUUUGAUAAAAGAAUAAUAUAAAUAUUGCAAUAUAAACUAAUAUGUAUAUGUUAUUUUGUACAAGAGAGAAUUUUUUUUUACAAAACGAAGUACGAGGUUUAAUCAAAAAGUAUUGAGACUGAUAGUAGUACACAUAAACCGAGCAUUUAAGAACAGCACAAUUGGUAUCAUUAGUUUAUAUUCUAUUCUAAAUACAUCUAUUUUUGUAAAUUCUCUAAAAACUUUUUCGUUUUGAUUUCACCGAUAUUUUUGUGAAAUAUGUUUUUCAUAUUUGGCGAUUUUGUAAUGAAUCCAAAAGAAGAGCAAACUUGAUGUGUUUUUGGGUAUUUGAGAGAAUUUGUCUAAAUUAAUAUUAUUUUUUUGUAUUUCAGAGGAAUAAAAAAUGACUUAUGCUAACAAAUUGCAGCUUUACCUAGUGGUAGUAAACCUGAACUGGGAUUUAUUUUUGAUCUUCGAUCAACAUUCUCGUGGCAAAUUUUGAUGCGAUUUCUCGCAUGUGUAAUUUUUUAGUUAAAUUUUGUGACAUGAGUCAUGUGAAAUGUGCAUUUUUCUGAAAUUUAAAAAAAAAUGCUGAAAAAUUUCUCUUGAACCCCCCCCCCCCAAAGGCCUGUUAAUAUGCUCUUCUAUUGGAUUCAUUAUAAAAUUGCCAAACACAAAAACAUAUUUUACAAAAAUAUCGGCGAAAUCAAAACGAAGAACUUUAUAGUAAAUCUACAAAAACAGAUGUAUUUAGAAGUCAAGAAUGAUACCAAUCUUGCUGCAAUUCAAUGCUCAAUUUAUGAGUAAUAUUAUCAGUCUCGACGUUUUUUGAUUAGCCCUCGUAUAAUAUAAUUUAAACUUCGCGUUAAUUACACACACACACACAUAUUUGUUCACAAUAUUUGUUAUUAUAAUAUGCUACCGUGAAUUUAUUUGAAAACCAGUCAAUUAUUGUUGACAUUUAACGAGUCAAUUUUCGAAAGUCGGAAAUUUUAGUGAUUUUUUGUAAAUAAUUUAAACAUUCGUUGGUGAUUGUUGACUUGACAUUAGGGAAACUUUAAUUAAUAUCUAAUAUUUGUCCAUUCCCCAUCCCUUUAAAAACUCAAAGAGAAAAUAGACAAUACCUAUCUCUUAACUUUUGGACUUUCCCCAUUGAGAUUAUUUCUAAUAAAAUAAAAUAUUGUGUUAAAAAAUCUAUUAAUUAAAUGAUCUAUAUAUACUAUUUACUUUUUAGUGGACAUGCAGUAAGCAAAAUCUUACUCUACUGAGUGUCCAAUGGAUUUUACUAGGUAUCCAUUCGGAUACAGAAAACUUCCUUAAUGAAUGCCCUGCUUAACAUAAUAAUAAUAUAUAUAUAUAAAUAUGAAUAAAAAAUGAUUGGUGAAAGUGAAAAAAAAAACAACCUACCUAUAUUAAAUAAAUUUAAGUAUAUAAGUAUUAGUUUAUUUUAUUAGUGUAUUAUAACAAUACGACUAAAGACAAAAAGAAAUUGUAUUUAUUAGGAAUAUUAUAUAAAAUUUAUUUGGCUGUACGCUAAGGAAGUUUUUUUGUUUAAUAUGGUAUUUUUUGUUAAACUUUAUUGAAUAAUACUUAGAACCUUACGUUUAUAUAAAAUUACGUACCUACUUAAAUUAGUAUGGGCUGUAAAGUCAUGUCACACGAGAAAAAUUAUCAUCAAAUAAACACAUUUUGUGAGUAGUGAUGAUAAUAAAAUAAGUUGUUGUCAUUUGCAUAGGCGUCAAAUUGAAACGUAUUUAAUAAUUAAUUUUUAUCGCCCGUAUUUUAUGUCUAUAUAAAAUGUAUAUUAAUGUGUUAAUAAUCCCGUUAAAAAAACUAAAAUGCAAAAUAGCGAAAACAAAAACUAGAAGACAACAAUUACUAGAAAUAAAAGAAAACCUAAGAAAAUACUAUUUUAUUUAGUCUAGUAGCUAGCAAUGUCUUAGUUUUUAAGUAAAAGUCAGUGGUAAUCUGUUAUUUUUUACGAAAAAAUUAUAAAACAACACAAAAUUCUUUGUAGUGAAAUAUUACAUAUUGAUGAACAAUAUCACAUCAUAAUAUUUUGUACUUCGGGGAAUAGCCUUAUGUUAUUUUCUUACUUAUUUUUACCAAAAUUUUAUCUGUGUGAGUGAUUUUUGAAUUUUCUUAUGGCUCAUUUUAAAAAAAUAAACCAGCUAAAGAAAUCGGUUGGACGAUGAAAUGCGUGUAUAAUAAUAGCUCUGAACAACAGUAUCCAUCUCACAAAAAUUUUAAAACUUGUUAAGAAAGGUCAAGUUCAAAAAUCAAAAUUCAAAAAUUAGGUCAUCAUAACUCAUAAUAAAGAAAAUUUUAGUAAUCUAUAGUAAAACCGUGAAAAAAGUGAUAUUUGUUUAUAAAACCAAAACAAUUUUUCUCAAAUUAAGAUAGUACACAACCUAUCGAAAGUUUUCUAUGUCGUUCGAAUUGUCAAAAAUUUUUGGAAACAAUGAUAUGGGUGAAUCUAUC